AUCCGGAAUCAUUGGGCGUAAAGCGCCUGUAGGUUGUUUAAUAAGUCUGUUGUUAAAGACUGGGGCUUAACCCCAGGAAAGCAAUGGAAACUACUAGACUAGAGUAUGGUAGGGGUAAAGGGAAUUUCUAGUGUAGCGGUGAAAUGCGUAGAUAUUAGAAAGAACACCGGUGGCGAAAGCGCUUUACUGGACCAUUACUGACACUCAGAGGCGAAAGCUAGGGUAGCCAAAGGGAUUAGAUACCCCUGUAGUCCUAGCCGUAAACGAUGGAUACUAGAUGUUGCGCUUAUUGUGCAGUGUCGUAGCUAACGCGUUAAGUAUCCCGCCUGGGGAGUACGAUCGCAAGGUUGAAACUCAAAGGAAUUGACGGGGGCCCGCACAAGCGGUGGAGCAUGUGGUUUAAUUCGAUGCAACGCGAAGAACCUUACCAGGGCUUGACAUACUGCAAAUUUUCUUGAAAGAGAAAAGUGCCUUCGGGAAUGCAGAUACAGGUGGUGCAUGGCUGUCGUCAGCUCGUGUCGUGAGAUGUCGGGUUAAGUCCCGCAACGAGCGCAACCCUCGUUUUUAGUUGCCAUUUUAUGGGUUCUCUAGAAAGACUGCCGGUGACAAACCGGAGGAAGGUGGGGAUGACGUCAAGUCAGCAUGCCCCUUAUGCCCUGGGCUACACACGUGCUACAAUGGCUGAGACAAAGAGUCGCGAAUUCGCGAGAAUCAGCUAAUCUCAUAAACUUAGUCUAAGUUCAGAUUGUAGGCUGCAACU
rnacentral:rRNA from 1 species